rnacentral:rRNA from 1 species
UCUUCUUGAGAGCGGCGGACGGGUGAGUAAUGCCUAGGAAUCUGCCUGGUAGUGGGGGACAACGUUUCGAAAGGAACGCUAAUACCGCAUACGUCCUACGGGAGAAAGUGGGGGAUCUUCGGACCUCACGCUAUCAGAUGAGCCUAGGUCGGAUUAGCUUGUAGGUGAGGUAAUGGCUCACCUAGGCAACGAUCCGUAACUGGUCUGAGAGGAUGAUCAGUCACACUGGAACUGAGACACGGUCCAGACUCCUACGGGAGGCAGCAGUGGGGAAUAUUGGACAAUGGGCGAAAGCCUGAUCCAGCCAUGCCGCGUGUGUGAAGAAGGUCUUCGGAUUGUAAAGCACUUUAAGUUGGGAGGAAGGGUUGUAGCUUAAUACGCUGCAACUUUGACGUUACCAACAGAAUAAGCACCGGCUAACUCUGUGCCAGCAGCCGCGGUAAUACAGAGGGUGCAAGCGUUAAUCGGAAUUACUGGGCGUAAAGCGCGCGUAGGCGGCUUGAUAAGAUGGGUGUGAAAUCCCCGGGCUUAACCUGGGAACUGCAUCCAUAACUGUCUGGCUAGAGUGCAGUAGAGGGUGGUGGAAUUUCCUGUGUAGCGG